rnacentral:lncRNA from 1 species
AUGAAUACUAAGAUUCCGAAGCAGUUGAGGGCGCUUCUUGCUUGCUUCCUUUCUCCACUGCUUUCCUUAGCAUUAGCAUGGGGAGAGUUACGUACUGGAACCGCAGGAAGAUAUCGUCUGGUGGAAUGGCAGGACCAGAAAGCUUGGUUGAUUUUGUUUGAGGAAAACAGAAUCAUUCUCGGUUGUACAAUCAUUACUAGUAGUUCCAGCGAGAAGCUAGAGGACUGUCUUCGUAGGACGCGUGGACGGAUGAGCGAUUGGACCGCCUACAGGACAGUUACUGGACAGAUGCGACCCUUACCUGUUGACAGAUGA